UACCCUUGACAUGUCUGGAACCCUGCUGAAAGGUGGGGUGCUCGAAAGAGAGCCAGAACACAGGUGCUGCAUGGCUGUCGUCAGCUCGUGUCGUGAGAUGUUGGGUUAAGUCCCGCAACGAGCCGCAACCCUUGUCAUUAGUUGCUACGAAAGGGCACUCUAAUGAGACUGCCGGUGACAAACCGGAGGAAGGUGGGGAUGACGUCAAGUCCUCAUGGCCCUUAUGGGUAGGGCUUCACACGUCAUACAAUGGUCGGUACAGAGGGUAGCCAACCCGCGAGGGGGAGCCAAUCCCAGAAAACCGAAUCGUAGUCCGGAUCGCAGUCUGCAACUCGACUGCGUGAAGUCGGAAUCGCUAGUAAUCGGGGAUCAAGCUACGCCCCGGUGAAUAUGUUCCUGACGCCUU
rnacentral:rRNA from 1 species